CCCUGGAGGGUCACCCAAGGAAAGAGUUCGUUCCAAAGACAGGUGCUCCUCUGAGUUCCUCUGGAAUCUGGCAAGGUGCCGAGCUUGGACGCAAGGCUUCCAUGAGGCUGUGAAGGAGGUUGCACGGAAACUGGUGGGGAUCUGAAAAGCUUUUAGUGGCCUCGCCACACACAGCACUUCAGAUGCUCAGGUGAUGAGCAACAUUUUCCAAACCCAGCUAGUGAGCACCCCACCUCCUCUGGCUUCCAGAACCUGGUGUGGAGGGCCAGGAGAGGCUUCGGGACUGAAGGGCAGAGCAGCAGACUCCGGGGCUCAUGUAGGAAGGAACAUGCCUUCAGCCAAAGAUUAUCCACGCUGCAUGGAGACUCUUGCUAAAUAUCACUGGUAAAUGCACAAUUAUGUCCCAUUUAGAGAUCUCUAGCAGAGUGUCUUGUGUUUGAUGGAUUUGUCCUGCAUUUAAUUAUAACUUCCUGCUAAAGCUCAGAUGUUUUCUUUCAGGGGUAAGACUGAAGAAAAGAAAUAAACUAUGCUACCUGCUCUUAAUAAAGAUCAUUUUAUUUUAAACAGGAGGCUGAAUAAAACCUUUUGACUCUGUAUUUCAGACAAAUGCAGUGGCUUAAUUUCAUUCAAUCAUUUACUGAGGAUCUGAAAUGCAUGCGGUUAGUGGUGAGAAUACUGACUCAGGGCUGUCCCUUCCUCUGGAGUUGACAGCCGACUGCGCAGGAAGGGAAGGUGAGGGUCAAACACACAGGUCAACAUCAGAAACAGCACUUCCGCCUUCCAUUGGCCCCGAU
rnacentral:lncRNA from 1 species